UUGAUGGGAGUCCGGCUGUU
rnacentral:snRNA from 1 species